rnacentral:lncRNA from 1 species
CCGGGAAUCAAACAUGGGUCUUUGCACUUGUGAGGCAGUCGGCGGAACCACUGAGCUAAAUCCCUGGCCCUGGAGAUGUUACAACUUUUUAAUGAGAACUGAAGACCUUAUUUAUAAGUAGCUGUCCCGGCCCGCGGACAGGGUCUUGGAACUUACUAUGUAGCCCAAGCUGGCCUCUCGAACUCACAGCGAUCCUCCUGGCUUAGCCACUGGAGUGCUAGGAUCACAGAUGAGUAAUACUUUAUUGUACAGAUCUGCCACAGUUCCUCCAAGUGGCAAGUUCCUUCAAGUUCCUUGAUGAAGAGUUGAGUUGAGUUGAUUGGCUUUUUGUUAUUGUGAAUAAUACUGAAAUAAUAAAGUGUGUAUAGGGCUGGGGAUUUAGCUCAGUGGUUUCGCCACUUGCUGUGCAAGCGCAAGGACAUGAGUUUGAUCCCCAGUACCAAAAAAAAAAAAAAAUUAAAAAAAUAAAGUGUGUAUAUAUCACUUCACACUUUAUGUAAUUUCAAUAUGAGCUCUUAGAAGUAUGGUUGCUGAUACAAAAGUGAUUGGAUACAUAAUUUUGCUGGAGAUGGCUAAGUUCCCUACCAUUUUUCAAUCUUACCAUCUGUGGAUUAGCAUGCCCAUUUUAUCACAUUCUUGCUGACAGAACAUGUAAGAGCUUUUAUGUUUUGCCACUCUGACCAGUGAGAAAUGAGCUGUCAGUGUAUUGAAAUAAUUUCAUAUAGAG